GGCUCGGUAACUUAGUUGUUAAAGCGCUCGUCUAGCAUACAAGAGUCCUGGGUUUGAAUCCCAGCCCAUCUU
rnacentral:tRNA from 1 species